rnacentral:rRNA from 1 species
GACGAACGCUGGCGGCGCGCCUAACACAUGCAAGUCGAACGAGAGAUGAGGAGCUUGCUCUUCAAAUCGAGUGGCGAACGGGUGAGUAACGCGUGAGGAACCUGCCUCAAAGAGGGGGACAACAGUCGGAAACGACUGCUAAUACCGCAUAAGCCCACGGCUCGGCAUCGAGCAGAGGGAAAAGGAGCAAUCCGCUUUGAGAUGGCCUCGCGUCCGAUUAGCUAGUUGGUGAGGUAACGGCCCACCAAGGCGACGAUCGGUAGCCGGACUGAGAGGUUGAACGGCCACAUUGGGACUGAGACACGGCCCAGACUCCUACGGGAGGCAGCAGUGGGGAAUAUUGCACAAUGGGGGAAACCCUGAUGCAGCGACGCCGCGUGGAGGAAGAAGGUCUUCGGAUUGUAAACUCCUGUUGUUGAGGAAGAUAAUGACGGUACUCAACAAGGAAGUGACGGCUAACUACGUGCCAGCAGCCGCGGUAAAACGUAGGUCACAAGCGUUGUCCGGAAUUACUGGGUGUAAAGGGAGCGCAGGCGGGAGAACAAGUUGGAAGUGAAAUCCAUGGGCUCAACCCAUGAACUGCUUUCAAAACUGUUUUUCUUGAGUAGUGCAGAGGUAGGCGGAAUUCCCGGUGUAGCGGUGGAAUGCGUAGAUAUCGGGAGGAACACCAGUGGCGAAGGCGGCCUACUGGGCACCAACUGACGCUGAGGCUCGAAAGUGUGGGUAGCAAACAGGAUUAGAUACCCUGGUAGUCCACACCGUAAACGAUGAUUACUAGGUGUUGGAGGAUUGACCCCUUCAGUGCCGCAGUUAACACAAUAAGUAAUCCACCUGGGGAGUACGACCGCAAGGUUGAAACUCAAAGGAAUUGACGGGGGCCCGCACAAGCAGUGGAGUAUGUGGUUUAAUUCGACGCAACGCGAAGAACCUUACCAAGUCUUGACAUCCUGCGACGCACAUAGAAAUAUGUGUUUCCUUCGGGACGCAGAGACAGGUGGUGCAUGGUUGUCGUCAGCUCGUGUCGUGAGAUGUUGGGUUAAGUCCCGCAACGAGCGCAACCCUUAUGGUCAGUUACUACGCAAGAGGACUCUGGCCAGACUGCCGUUGACAAAACGGAGGAAGGUGGGGAUGACGUCAAAUCAUCAUGCCCUUUAUGACUUGGGCUACACACGUACUACAAUGGCGUUAAACAAAGAGAAGCAAGACCGCGAGGUGGAGCAAAACUCAGAAACAACGUCCCAGUUCGGACUGCAGGCUGCAACUCGCCUGCACGAAGUCGGAAUUGCUAGUAAUCGUGGAUCAGCAUGCCACGGUGAAUACGUUCCCGGGCCU